GACGAACGCUGGCGGCGUGCUUAACACAUGCAAGUCGAGCGGUAAGGCCCUUUCGGGGGUACACGAGCGGCGAACAGGUGAGUAACACGUGGGUGACCUGCCCUCAGCUCUGGGAUAAGCCUGGGAAACUGGGUCUAAUACCGGAUAUGACUCCAUGACGCAUGUUGUGGGGUGGAAAGCCUUGUGCGGCUGAGGAUGGGCCCGCGGCCUAUCAGCUUGUUGGUGGGGNGAUGGCCUACCAAGGCGACGACGGGUAGCCGGCCUGAGAGGGCGACCGGCCACACUGGGACUGAGACACGGCCCAGACUCCUACGGGAGGCAGCAGUGGGGAAUCUUGCGCAAUGGGCGAAAGCCUGACGCAGCGACGCCGCGUGA
rnacentral:rRNA from 1 species